AACGAACGCUGGCGGCGCGCCUAAUACAUGCAAGUCGAGCGAGAAGACGUAGCAAUACGUUUGUAAAGCGGCGAACGGGUGAGGAAUACAUGGGUAACCUACCCUCGAGUGGGGAAUAACUAGCCGAAAGGUUAGCUAAUACCGCGUACGCUCCUUGGACUUCGGUUCAAGGGAGGAAAGCGAUACCGUGGGUAUCGCGCUCUUGGAUGGGCUCAUGUCCUAUCAGCUUGUUGGUGAGGUAACGGCUCACCAAGGCUUCGACGGGUAGCUGGUCUGAGAGGACGAUCAGCCACACUGGCACUGCGACACGGGCCAGACUCCUACGGGAGGCAGCAGUAAGGAAUAUUGCGC
rnacentral:rRNA from 1 species